GACCCUUUUUUGGCGACGCUAUUCACUAGCGUCGGGAAAAAAUACCCCAAGCCCCACAUAUCCUCACGCUUCAAAGAAGCGUCGGUAGAUUCUCCCUCAAGCCUCCUCCCUCCUGGUUCAUAGAUCGAGCGUUGCCUCCGCCCUCAAGCCUUCUCCCUCCUCUCCGGCGUCGACCGACCGGCCCUCAAGCCUCGAGCGAGCUUCACCUCCGCUCUCGAGGAUCUUCUCCUCGUCCCUCCUCUCCAGCUCCGACCGAUUGGCCCUCAAGCGUUGAUCGAGCUUCGCCUCCGCCCGAGGAA
rnacentral:lncRNA from 1 species